rnacentral:rRNA from 1 species
UACGUAGGUGACAAGCGUUGUCCGGAUUUACUGGGCGUAAAGAGCGCGCAGGCGGUCGAUCAAGUCGAGUGUGAAAGCCCCCGGCUCAACUGGGGAGGGUCAUUCGAAACUGGUCGACUCGAAGGCAGGAGAGGGUAGUGGAAUUCCAGGUGUAGCGGUGAAAUGCGUAGAUAUCGAGAGGAACACCUGCGGCGAAGGCGGGUUGCUGGGCUGACACUGACGCUGAGGCGCGAAAGCUAGGGGAGCGAACGGG